CCACGGGGUGCACCAGUGAGGAAUAUUGCACAAUGGGGGGAACCCUGAUGCAGCAACGCCGCGUGGAGGAUGACGCAUUUCGGUGUGUAAACUCCUUUUAUAUGUCAAGAAAAUGACGGUAGCAUAUGAAUAAGCACCGUCUAACUCCGUGCCAGCAGCCGCGGUAAUACGGAGGGUGCAAGCGUUACACGGAAUCACUGGGCGUAAAGGACGCGUAGGCGGGUUGGAAAGUCAGGUGUGAAAUCCUACAGCUUAACUGUAGAACUGCACUUGAAACUUCUAAUCUAGAGUAUGGGAGGGGGAGAUGGAAUUAGUGGUGUAGGGGUAAAAUCCGUAGAUAUCACUAGGAAUACCUAAAGCGAAGGCGAUCUCCUGGAACAUUACUGACGCUAAGGCGUGAAAGCGUGGGGAGCAAACAGGAUUAGAUACCCGAGUAGUC
rnacentral:rRNA from 1 species